rnacentral:lncRNA from 1 species
GAUUUCAAUAAUGCUUUGUCUCUUUCAUUCUUUAUCGAAUUGGUGGGGCCCUUGACGUGGAAUAAUUGGACACGUAGCCUUUCUUUUUCCUUCUUUAUAUGGCAAUUUUAGACACGUAAUUUUCAUUGCUUUCAUUUUCAUCGUUUUCCUUCCUUUUUUUUUAUAUUCUCUUAAUUAUUGUACUGGUGAAAUUCCUUGGAAGGUCCUUCUAUUAUAAGAAUUGGAUCAAAUUAAUCAUUCUAUUAUUAAAUAAAUUAAAUUAAUCUCU